ensembl:lncRNA
GGCUUCCAGUGUUUGAAACAGAUUAUAUGUGUAAUGCAGUAGAACAGAGGUUUUCUACUAAAUUCCUGAGGAGCUACUGCAUUAUCAAGCUCUUCAUUAACUGGAUCAGGUAUGAUGCGGGCAGAGAAUACCUGAAAUGGUGCAGGACAGUGAGUCACCACAAGUGGAGUUGAAAAUAACUGCUGUAGAGGGAUCAUGCAGGCCCCAACGAUGACAGCCGAGAGAGCCGGCAGGAAUCACCAGCGGCAGAUCACGCAGCGGCAAUGCACCUUGGUGAGGACGCUGGGAAGAGAGCCGCAAGGGUGGAGGGGGCGGAGCGCAAAGCCCAAGCUCCCCCGACGUGCAGGAGUGACGGGGGGAGGAGAAGGACUACGCUGGUGCCAGCUAUGAGAGGCACCCGGGGCCCCACCCCCAGCUGGCAGCUCGACCGCCUGAGUCGAACGUAGAGGCCUCGCAUGCCACAAUAUGGUAAGUUAUAAAAAGUAGCAUCAAACCCAGGCUGAAUCCCAAAUGGCCCUAUAUUCCAUAAAUAGUGUGCCAGCUAGCUAUGAACGUUAGAAGUUUUGGCCUCUACAGCUUAUCAUUUAUCAAGUAUUCCAAGUAAAAGAGUCCCAAAUGACUAUUUCUUUGCUGUAUUUUGCACCUUUGGUGUGCAGGAUCCAGUACUUAAAUUCCUACGUAGUGCACUAUGCUUGGGUCAGGGAUCCGUUUGUGAUUGAGCACCAGCACAAGUAGGAUUGGUGGAUUGGUGCAUGUUGUGAUGGUAAAUUGGUGGCAAAAAAACUACUUAUAAAGCAAAAGCAUUUGCAUUAAACAGUGUUGUGUUAUCAUGUGCUCUUGAAAUGACCGUAAUAUACACGAUGGGUGAUCAACCAUUCUUCUCCUCAUUCAGGAGCCCAUGGUUGCUCAGUUUUGUGUCAUGCCUAAAAACACCCUUUCUGUGAUAAAAUCAGAGUAUGGCACAGCCUCAAGUGGCUUAUUACUUAAUACAUAAAAAAUCAACAGUGACCCGUUAUGUCUGAUAUAACUGGCAGAUAUGAUGGAGAAGACAAAUAACAUCAGUGUGACCUUUAUUUAUUAAUAGUCAUUCAUUUUGAUGUCAGUCAUAUUCAGUGUAUGACAUUGCAUCUAAGUAUCACAAUGAUCAACUUUAGAUGUGUGCUUGGGGAACAAAUAGCAUCUGUGUAAAGCUGUGUGUUUACUUCCCAAAUAGCAUGUCUAAACCUAUUUCUGAAAUCUUUCCUGUUGGUGAGUUACACUCAUGGAAAACAGAAGUAGUGACACUAUUUCCAGCAUUUAAACCAUUUUAUUCAGACAGUUGCUUAAAA